CCUUCGAUAGCUCAGUUGGAAGAGCGUGGGACUGUAAUUUGUUACGUAAUUAAUCCCGAGGCCACCGGUUCGAUCCCGGUUUGAAGGA